UACGAAGGGUGCAAGCGUUACUCGGAAUUACUGGGCGUAAAGCGUGCGUAGGCGGUUUGUUAAGUCUGUCGUGAAAGCCCUGGGCUCAACCUGGGAAUUGCGAUGGAUACUGGCGAGCUAGAGUACGGUAGAGGAUGGUGGAAUUCCCGGUGUAGCGGUGAAAUGCGUAGAGAUCGGGAGGAACACCCGUGGCGAAGGCGGCCAUCUGGACCAGUACUGACGCUGAGGCACGAAAGCGUGGGGAGCAAACAGG
rnacentral:rRNA from 1 species